GCCUGGCUGUCUCAGUAGGUAGAGCAUGUGACUCUUGAUCUCAGGGUCAUGAGUUCAAGCCCCAUGUUGGGCC
rnacentral:tRNA from 1 species